rfam:Pseudoramibacter alactolyticus ATCC 23263 genomic scaffold SCAFFOLD1, whole genome shotgun sequence.
GCAUCAAAUAGGGGGAGUCCGCUGGCGCGGGCUGAGAAAAAACCAGCAAGGUUUUGACCCACAACCUGAUUUGGAUCAUGCCAACGUAGGGAAAAAAUUGAAAAAAUUUUU